rnacentral:tRNA from 1 species
GGUCGCGUAGCUCAGUUGGCUAGAGCGUUCGAUUCACAUUCGAAAGGUCGAUGGUUCGAGUCCAUCCGCGACUA